GCAAAAGCAAAGCACUGCUAGCCCAAGGCAGAAAAGUUUUUGACAAUGAGACAGAUUUUGCCAUGAUGCUGAUACUAUUGUCUAGACUACGCAGGUUGCUGCACUGUGUGUUACACUGCACUGAGUUCUAAAUCAGGACGUGAGUGCUGGCUGUUCAGAUCUAAUCCUGUCUGAAACUUCCCAUAGCCUGUAUGUUUAAUCAAUAGUGUGCAAUUUAGCAGUAUUACAUAAGAUAUGUUGUGUAGACUACAGAGGAAACAUAACUUUUUUUCCAGCUAUGUAUAUUUUGUCAGUUUUACAUCUUUGUCAUCAUAUCUUCAUCUUAAAAAUUUUAAUAGCUAUAUAUAAACUUACAUCUCUUAGUGUUCUGUAAAUUCAUUCACUCAGGGAACUCUGCAGCUGUUAAACAUCUCAGUGUCAUGCAGAUGACGUUAGACAUUUAAACUGACAAUGAUGUACAGUAAAAACAGUAGCAGUACAAAUAGAGUUACUUUACUGAGGGAUAUAGUCAGUAGGUAGCCUUCUCCCAUUAGUGUCAUAUCCAGAUCAAAAGUAUUUUGAGUACUCCAACUCAGAACAUACUGGCUUGAUGUAGAAAUUCCCAGGAUAUCUAUGCAUCUGUUACAAAGGCCAGACUAGAUAAUCAUAAAUACAACUUCUGAGUUGAGAAUUCACAUUAAGUAUUUCUUAUAUUUAUUCUUUAUAUUCUAUAUUAAACAUAGAGGAAACCCAAUUGUAUUUAAUAUUGAUCACUUUAAUUAAAAAGCUUACCUAUCCAGUGUUCCUUUCAGCCAACAGCUUUCUUCCUCAGAAGUUAUCAGUAUAAAAUAGAGAGGCUCUGCCAUAUUAGUUAAAGGAUGCCUGUGGGCUUUGCAGGACAAUAGCGCUGGAACAGUGUAUGGCAAGUCAACUCAAGCGUCAAGUCUGAGAGGCCCAUGUUCUGUUCUCCCAGCCAGUUAAGUUCAGUUGCAGAGCAGUCAAAGGUUCGUUAGUAUCUUAGAGCAAACAUAAAUAACAUUGCAUUAUUUGGUAACACUAAAUUUUUUUGGGUCAUUUUCUUGCUGUUAGUUUUAUGAAAAAUGUAAUGCUAAUUUCCACUAGUGGUGGACAGAUGGUCAAGAAUCUUCAUUGUACUGUAGUGCAAAAGGGAUGAAAAAUUAACAAUACAUAACCAGGUCACCAUGUCUCCCCUCUGUGACAGUGAAGUUGUGUUCCUUUCAGUACGGUUAGUUGUCUGACCUAUUUUUAAUAGUGUUCUAGGUCAAAAUUUUUCACAUCUUCCCAUUUUCUCUGCAGCACACAUGUAACUUCACUGAACUUUGAGAGUUUUGUAUGCAUAAAAGACAAUCCCAGGAUAAUAACAAGGUGAAGAUGAAUAUAGAAACAGGUACAAAGAAUGCAGAAUUUUUUUCUUUCCCUCCACUGUAAAUAAAUAAAAUAAUUACGUAUGUAAGCUUACCCUAAAAAGAAUGCAAAUACAUCUUUUAAUUAAAUACUUUACACAAGUACUUUAUACCUCCUACAAUUUGAUUAGUUGAUGCCAAUAUCCACUGAAACAUAGGAAAAUUUUUCAAUUUAUAAAUUAAACAUAGAGUCAAGCCACAUCCCUCUUAGUUAAAAAGUUAUAUAUGAGAAAGUGACAGAGAUGGCUGGAGCACUGAAUUCAGGAUAGCCAGAAGAAAAGAACCCUAUUUUAGUGCAUUAAACAGCCCUUAGACGAGAAAGUUCUGCCCUGUUUGCUUAUUUUAGUCUUUGGAUUGCCAACAUAUUUUUUUGCUGCAUGCAGAAACUGUUUUAUUUCAGAAUGUAAUAGGUGGCAGUCAUUAUCAUCUGUUUUUCUGUCCACAAACAGUUAACAUGUCUUUUCUUCCACACAAAGAAUGACUGAUUUGCUUAGACUACAACAACAGAAAGACAGUAAGGCUAGGCUCUGCAAGUAAUCUAACUGCUUGCCUUUAAACCACAAAUUUAACUUUGGUAAACUGUCCACUGGAUCCACCCAGACUCUGACAAACAUGAGCCUGCAAACAAGUGGCAUUUAACCAUCACUGUCCUUUUUUUCAGUUGUCUGAUUUGGGGGCUGAACUGAGAAAAAAUAAGUAAGUUCCUUUAUAAAGCCUUCAUCCAGAAAUGCAUUCUAUCCUUUUUAACCAAGCAGGUGAAUGAGAGUUUUUUCACACUUGUCUUGAGGAGUGUUUCUCUGCCCAAGAAGUGUAACAGAGCAGCCGAGAUGAAACACUAGAUGCUAACUGGGCAAGUACUGACUUCAGAAUACCAUGAAAGAGACUUCUUCCUUAGUUGACCAAACUAAUUAACUAAGGAGAAAACUAAUCCAGAAAAAAAAAGAUAGAUUCCUGGAUGAUUAGUGGGAUGAAAUGGUUCAUCAUCCAAGGGAGGAGGAAACUCACAAAUGAGAACACAAGAAGUGGAAAAAAGAGAAGGUCAAGCAUGGAAGGCAAGGUUUUGAAAUCAUCUGAUUUCUCGGAUCCUGCCUGCUACCAUGUGGUGUAGCUGCUGAUUGAAAGCCUGAACAGAGUUUGGAGGAUGGAGCCACCAAUCCACUAUUCCUGCACAAAAACACUAGUUAUAGGAAAAGGUUGCCAUUACAGCAAGUAACUUCUUUCCCUGUUUGGCAGAUUUUACGCCAGAAGGAAGAAGGAUUUGAGAAUGUUUUUCAGUAUCCUUCCUGUUACCCUGGGUAAAAAUGUACCAACAUCAAAUCCCUUUAUUGUCUGGUUGAUUUCUUCACCUCUUCCCAUUUUCUGUUUGUCGCUCAUGGCAAUUUUCAACACUUUUUCUAGCUGUUUAUUUUUUUGUCAUCUGAAGAUCAACAAAUUUCAAAGUAGAAUCAAGACCAUUUCAGAGGUAUGUAUGUUUUACCAGAAGGUAUGAUCACUGGUAGAACAAAAUGCCACCCUUAGGAAAAAAUUGUAAAGGUUUAAUCUUGCAUAGUUAGACAACUGUAUACUCUUAUAGCAACCUCUCUUAAGUUGUGAGAAUCUGAAAACACUUUGGUUUCACUGAGCACCAAACCUUGUACUGCUUAACUGAUCUAGAGGGCUAAAGAUGUAGGACAACAUAACUAUGUCCAUUACAGAAUAUAAACGUAUAAAAGCAUGGGAAACAAGUUGCACUUGGCACAUGAGACCAUCAUGGGAAGGGAGAUAUUCAGCUGCUUAUUUUUGUCUGGGGAGGCAAAACAAUAUGUUGGUAGCUAUCUACAAAGAGAAGAAAAAUAUUCUAUUCCAUGUAAAAUAAAAAACAGCAGUAGUGGGUACAGUACUUUAAUUAAUAUGGCAGUAAAAUAGAAUAUGAGUUAUUGGAAAAAGCAUCUGAGCUAUGGAAGAUAAGACGACAAGGAUUUAAUUUUCAGAGAAUUUUGUGGAGUAGAGAGGUAAAAGAAGGGCACUUUGCUAAUAAAUAGAAGCAUUUGUACCCCCUACUAAAUACCAAUUCUGUAUCUAUUUACUUAAAAAUUGGGAUCAUUCAACAGUACUGGAUAAACCAAAAGCACAAAAUAUUGGCCACAUUUCAGAACAAAAUUGACCAAGUUGGGAAGACUGCUGGAAUUCAUCAUUAGAAUACUGCUUUUCGUUGUUCUUUCUAAAAACAGCUAAGAAACAAGUGUUUCUCACACUGCUUAUCGUUAUUUUUAAAACUGGCAUGGUAUCCAUUACAGCUCUGUGAACUAUUUGUAUAUAUCUCUGAAUCAAUGCUAAGUGACACUCAAAUUUAACAUUCUGUUCUUUCACAAGCCCAAACACAUGCUGGUAAUAUUUACUUACCAGGGAAUCUGGCAGAUUGCCUCCCACCAAAAGCCCUCCCUCACUCCAUCCCAAUGACCUUUUCAUGGCUCUUUAGCUCCCUGAAACCCUCUAGAACCAGCAGAGAAGAAUACUGAGAUUUAUCAGCAGACAAGAUGAAUGAAGUUAGGAUUUAUUCAGCCUGUAACAAGUGUACAGGAAGUAGCUUACAACUGAACAGCGUUCUGCUUCUAAAUCCGCUAUAAAAACAAGUUCACCAAGUUCUUCAGGGCAGAGGAGCAUAUAGUGAAAUAUGGCUGGAUUAUUGGUGGAGGGAGGGAUGGACACGGACCCGGGGUAUGGGAGGGACACAAGUGAGAUUAGAUUUUACAUUAACUUUUUGUUCUUGCUAAGAAUUUAUUGUUAAGUUCUCUAUUAAGAGCAAUCAUAUGACUGAUAGUAUGUUGGCCUCUUAAGCAAAAAGAUUAUGAAGAUUUUUAUUUAUGAGAACUGGAAAAAGAAAUGCCAGUUUUACAUUAUUUGCUAGUGAAUAAUUUACUUCAUAUUUUAUAGGGCAGCAAAUAAAUAUAUGCAAAUAGCUUAAGGCACCCACAGGGAGAGUCAUGGAAUGUUUUGUGUUCUUUUCAAGACUGUAUCUGCAUUGACUGAAUGGGAGUAAAACCUCAGACAUUAAAGUUAUUUCAGAAGGAAA